rnacentral:misc_RNA from 1 species
GAAAUGCGAUAAGUAGUGUGAAUUGCAGAAUUCAGUGAAUCAUCGAAUCUUUGAACGCACAUUGCGCCCCUUGGUAUUCCAUGGGGCAUGCCUGUUCGAGCGUCAUCUACACCCUCAAGCUCUGCUUGGUGUUGGGCGUCUGUCCCGCCUCUGCGCGCGGACUCGCCCCAAAGGCAUUGGCAGCGGUCCACGGCCCCUCUCGCGCAGCACAUUGCGCUUCUCGAGGCGGCCCGGCCCGCGUCCACGAAGCCCACAUUACCGUCUUUGACCUCGGAUCAGGUAGGGAUACCCGCUGAACUUAA